GUGGGCAUACCGUGGAGUUAUAUAGAGGCAAUAUGAUAUUUUCUGUCUUAUUAUCUGUCCUUUUCUUAAUGAUUCCCAAUGUUCCAUAGCAAAACCUGUUCUACGCCCUCCUUUAGUCUCCUGCACCCCCUUUCAUUCUGGAUGAUUGUGUUAGGAUUUGUAGGACAGAUCUUGCACUUGGAAUGUUUUGCUCCACAGUAGCAUAUAAGAAAUGUCUAAAGUUGCAUUUCCGGUGUUACCAUAUCUUGUCUUCCUGCCUGCAGCUUGUGGCUUCCCUGUUUCAGUGCUGGUCACAUGGAAGCGCUCAUGCUAUGGAAAGUGGAAUUGAAACGAUCUCCGGUCUAUGGUUGGAGGGGCUGGGCCUGAGGCGUGCACAAUGCUGCUGA
rnacentral:lncRNA from 1 species